rnacentral:rRNA from 1 species
UACGAAGGGGGCUAGCGUUGUUCGGAAUUACUGGGCGUAAAGCGCGCGCAGGCGGUUCUUUAAGUCAGGGGUGAAAGCCCAGAGCUCAACUCUGGAAUUGCCUUUGAAACUAGAGAACUUGGGUACGGGAGAGGUGAGUGGAAUUCCGAGUGUAGAGGUGAAAUUCGUAGAUAUUCGCAAGAACACCAGUGGCGAAGGCGGCUCACUGGCCCGGUACUGACGCUGAGGUGCGAAAGCGUGGGGAGCAAACAGG